UCUGGCGGUAGUAGCGAGGGGGAAACACCUGAUCCCAUUCCGAACUCAGCAGUUAAGACCUUCAGCGCCGAUGAUACUAUCACAUGAUGGGAAAGUAGGUCAUUGCCAGUU
rnacentral:rRNA from 1 species